UUGCGAUAUCUUAAAAUUUCAGAUUCCAUGGGAUAUCCAUAUCCAUCCAUUUGAGUAACCCCUGCACGAACACCACCUCAGGGUUUCUCUGAUUGUGAUAUUUCCCUCCUUCCAUCAACAAAAAGCCUUUUAAAGAUGAUUCGGCCAGAAAAUACAAAGAAAGAAGAGCUCUACUCUUUUAGGAAAGUUCCAAUUUACGCCAUCCAAAAUUACAUCUUAUUGAAGAAGAAGAGGCAACAAAGAUUCAAUUUUUAUAGUACGUGUGCGCAGUGAGAAGCUAUGGAAAGGAAGGAGAGAAAUAUCCGAGGUAAGCAUAGAUAUCAAAACAAGAAGGAAGUGAACUUUGGAAAUUGUUCAUAAAGAAACUGUAUAAUCCUUCGAUUAUUGUCAACUGAAAAGAGAGUAAAAAUGUUACUGAAAAGCAGCUGUAACACAGUAAACAACCAAGGUUUUUAUUAACAAACCCUGGAUGCAGUCUGUAAAUAUCCAAAUUAAUAAUCAAUGCUAAGGGGCAACCUAGAGUUGCUGAAUUAUUUCUCUAUUAAACCCCCCCAACCAACCAAACCAACAACCCCUUUUGUCCCUUUUCUAAGAAGAAGAAGAAGAAUUAACCCAAUUACAGAAGUCACAUAUGAGUCAGUAAAACUAUACAUGGCCCUGUUCAUUUCUGGGUUUCUACAAGAAAAUGUGCAGGCUGGCAUUUUGCUGCAUAACCAAAUCUCGACGUGCUGUAUUUUCUGUGUGCUCCAGUGAGUUUCCCUGUAGCUGCCUUUUGGUGAAAGCUGACGAUCAAUCUUGAGCAUUCCCUAUCGAUCCAUCAAAGACAGAAAAGGAAUAGAACUUUUGUUAGGCCAAUGCAGAAUUUGAAUUGAAUGAAACAUGUC
rnacentral:lncRNA from 1 species